GCAUAAUUGUUUUCAUUUUGUGGCUAACUCCUAGAAUCACCUAUCUGGUUUGGCUGGUACUUUGUACAGAGCAAUGGGGUUUUCCAUGGUGGAAUCUUUCCCUGGGCUCUCAACAAGGCAGGCCCAUAUCUGUUUCCCUCCUCUGGAGGGCAGUACUCAUUAGGCUGAAAAG